rnacentral:rRNA from 1 species
UACAGAGGUGGCAAGCGUUGUUCGGAAUUACUGGGCGUAAAGGGCGCGUAGGCGGCCUUCUAAGUCAGACGUGAAAUCCCCCGGCUUAACCUGGGAACUGCGUCUGAUACUGGAGGGCUUGAGUGCGGGAGAGGGAUGUGGAAUUCCAGGUGUAGCGGUGAAAUGCGUAGAUAUCUGGAGGAACACCGGUGGCGAAGGCGGCAUCCUGGACCGAUACUGACGCUGAGGAGCGAAAGCCAGGGGAGCAAACGGG